CCUGGCUCAACCAGGAAUCAGCGAUCAAAACUGAUUAGCUAGAGGGCAAGAGAGAGAAGUGGAAUUCUCGGAGUAGCGGUAAAAUGCGUAGAUCUCGAGAGGAACACCGGUUGCGAAGGCGGCUUCUUGGCUUGUUUCUGACGCUCAAGCGCGAAAGCGUGGGGAGCAAACAGGAUUAGAUACCCUGGUAGUCCACGCUGUAAACUAUGAGAACUCGGUGUAGGAGGUAUCGACCCCUUCUGUGCCUAAGCUAACGCGUUAAGUUCUCCGCCUGAGUAGUACGAUCGCAAGAUUAAAACUCAAAGGAAUAGACGGGGACCCACACAAGCGGUGGAGCGUGUGGUUUAAUUCGAUAGUAAGCGAGGAACCUUACCUAGGCUUGACAUCUAGAGAAUCUUUUGGAAACAAGAGAGUGCCUCACGGAACUCUAAGACAGGUGCUGCAUGGUUGUCGUCAGCUCGUGCCUUGAGGUGUUCGGUUAAGUCCGUAAACGAGCGCAACCCAUGUGCUGUGUUGCAUUUUUCACAGCAGACUGCCGAUUCAAAGUCGGAGGAAGGUAUGGAUGACGUCAAAUCAGCAUGGCCUUUAUGCCUAGGGCCGCACAGAUGCUACAAUGGUCAGUACAGCAGGUAGCAAAGCAGUAAUGCCGAGCCAAUCCUAUAAAGCUGAUCUUAGUUCGAAUUGAGGGCUGCAACUCGCCCUCAUGAAGUUGGAAUCGCUAGUAACCGCGCAUCAGCCAUGGCGCGGUGAAUAUGUUCCUGGGUCUUGUACUCACCGCCCGUCACACUAUGAAAGAUGGGAGCACCCGAAGUACCCUUAGCUUUUAGCGGGGUCCUAAGGUGAAACCAUUGAUUGGAGUGAAGUCGUAACAAGGUAUCCGUAGGAGAACCUGCGGAUGGAAUAUCUCUUUU
rnacentral:rRNA from 1 species